rnacentral:rRNA from 1 species
CAGUAGCCGCGGUAAUACAGAGGGUGCAAGCGUUAAUCGGAAUUACUGGGCGUAAAGCGCGCGUAGGUGGUUUGUUAAGUUGGAUGUGAAAUCCCCGGGCUCAACCUGGGAACUGCAUUCAAAACUGACUGACUAGAGUAUGGUAGAGGGUGGUGGAAUUUCCUGUGUAGCGGUGAAAUGCGUGGAGAUCAAGAGGAACACUCGUGGCGAAAGCGAGCUACUGGACAAUAACUGACGCUGAGGCUCGAAGGCCAGGGUAGCGAAAGGGAUUAGAUACCCCCGUAGUCCCUGUCUCUUAUAC